AGUCACUAGUUGUUAUAGGCAAACCAGAGCAUCCGGGUCGUGUGAGGGGUGUUAGACAUGGUGUGGGUAUUAAGGAUUACUUUGGAACACCUAGACAUCCCAAUUCAGGAGGUGUAGUGACUAGAGAAGAUUAAGGAUGAGUUUGAAGCUUCAUUUACAGCCCAACUUCUACAAAUGAAGGAGCAAAUGAAGGAGGAGAUGAUGAGCAUGAUGAGCUCACGCCAGGAGACAACUGCUGAACUAGUUCAUACAUCUCCUAAAUUUUAUAAUACAAAAGGGAGUAAUGUUCUUAAGUGUGUGUCAGAGGAUCUUUUUGGUGACAACAUUGGUGAACUGUGUGAGAUAUUUUUAGAAGAUCCUGACAGAUGCUUGGUUGCUCUUGGUAGCAUUUAAAGCUUGGGGUCAACCAUCCACCACAAGCAAAUUCAAGAUGAUCAAGUGAGAGUGGUGGUUGCAAAUCCAAAAGUGCUAGAUGCAUUGGUUCCAUUCCCCACUAAUGAGAUGAAGACUGUGGUUGAAGCUAUUAGUAAUUUUAUUCUAUAGCCCAAGAGACUUGUGAAUAUGGUUCAAGCUAUGCUUUCCUUGUCGAAUCCCUUGAAACUUCCACAACCCUCGUUGACUCCGCAUCAAUGGAUGAUCUUAAUGGCAUAUGAUUCAUCAGUCAAACUCAAGAAUUUAGAAAUGGAUCCAGAGGUUGUGGGUAAGAAAAACAUGAUAGUGACAGUUGAACGGGAAGAUUUGGUUGGACUUCUGUCAAAUAGUCAGCUUACCACACAUUGAACUAUUCAUGAUGUACCUUCAUCAUUUGUGCAUUAUAUCAGGCAAAGGUGAUAAGUUUGGAUUCCUUUGCCCUCAUCACAUGACAGAGAAAGACUUGGGAAAGAAAUGUAAAAGACGAUAGACUCGGCAAUGAGAACAUAUCAAAAUAUAGUUUUACAAAAGCAUGGACAUGAGCUGAAGGAUCCCACGUGGAUUGAGCCAAAGUCGUAGACAACCAAUAAAGAUGAACUUGUGCGGUCUAUAUGUCAUGAGACACAUGGUUAACAUCAUCACAUUGGGCAUGACCGAAUUUACAAAAGAGAUGUUCGACAAUUCAAAUGCAUUUCUUGAAGCUGAAAUUGAAGACAUCCGUAUACGUUGGGUAACUUAUAUUGUGGAGAAUUUGUGAGGUUUAUAAAAUGUUUCAUACAAUUUAUUCAGUUUGUUAGUUUUAGACAAGUUUUAAUUUUGACAGUUGACACAAUUUAGACAAUUGUUAAUUUUUUAAUAGUUAAAUAAUUUUGUAUAGUUGAUAAAUA